UUUGUUUGGAGAGUUUGAUCCUGGCUCAGGACGAACGCUGGCGGCGUGCUUAACACAUGCAAGUCGAACGGAAAGGCCCUUCGGGGUACUCGAGUGGCGAACGGGUGAGUAACACGUGGGUGAUCUGCCCUGCACUUUGGGAUAAGCCUGGGAAACUGGGUCUAAUACCGAAUAUACCUC
rnacentral:rRNA from 1 species